UGGGUCUCGCUCGUUACCUGACUUAACAGGAUGCUUUACAGUACGAACUGACGACGGCCAUGCACCACCUCUCAGCUAAUCCGGCAAAGUCUUCAGCCUGGCCUUCAUAUUGCUGUCGGUCCCGGUAAGAUUUCCGGCGUUGAAUCCAAUUAAACCGCAAGCUCCACCCGUUGUGGUGCUCCCCCGCCAAUUCCUUUAAGUUUCAGCCUUGCGGCCGUACUUCCCAGGUGGCUCGCUUCACGGCUUCCCUACGGCACCGACAACGGUCGCACCGUGGCCGACACCUAGCGAGUAUCGUUUACGGCUAGGACUACCCGGGUAUCUAAUCCGGUUCGUGCCCCUAGCUUUCGUCCCUUGCCGUCAGGUCCGUUCUGGUGAGACGCCUUCGCCACUGGUGGUCCUUCAAGGAUUACAAGAUUUCACCCCUACCCCUGAAGUACCUCUCACCUCUCCCGGCCUCGAGCCAGACAGUAUCUCCUGAAAGCCUGACAGUUAAGCUGCCAGAUUUCUCAAGAGACUUAUCCGGCCGGCUACAGACCCUUUAGACCCAAUAAUAACGGUUACCACUCGAGCCGCCGGUGUUACCGCGGCGGCUGGCACCGGUCUUGCCCGGCCCUUGCUAUGAAAUGCUUUUUAGGCAUCUCGACAGCCAGAUUUGUAACCUGGCACUCGAGGUUCCCUUAUCGCUGUUGCCAGCAUUGUAA
rnacentral:rRNA from 1 species